rnacentral:rRNA from 1 species
GACGAACGCUGGCGGCGUGCCUAAUACAUGCAAGUAGAACGCUGACGGAGGAGCGUUCUCUUCUGCACGAGUUGCGAACGGGUGAGUAACGCGUAGGUAACCUGCCUGGUAGCGGGGGGUAACUAUUGGAAAAGAUAGCUAAUACCGCAUAACAAUAUAUGUUGCAUGACAUUUACUUAAAAGGUGCAAUUGCAUCACUACCAGAUGCACCUGCGUUGUAUUAGCUAGUUGGGGGGGUAACGGCUCACCAAGGCGGCGAUACAUAGUCGACCUGAGUGGGUGGACGGCCACAAUGGGAAUGAGACACCGCCCAGGCUCCUACGGGAAGCAGCAGGAGGGAAUCAUCGGCAAUGGACGGAAGUCUGACCGAAGAACGGCGGGUGAGUGAAGGAGGUUUUCGGAGCGUAAAACUCUGUUGUGAGGGGAGAACGAGUGUGAGGGUGGAAAGUUCACACAGUGACGUUACCUUAACAGAAAGGGACGGCUAACUACGUG